rnacentral:rRNA from 1 species
GAGUUUGAUCGUGGCUCAGAUUGAACGCUGGCGGCAUGCCUUACACAUGCAAGUCGAACGGCAGCAUGAUCUAGCUUGCUAGAUUGAUGGCGAGUGGCGAACGGGUGAGUAAUACAUCGGAACGUGCCCUGUAGUGGGGGAUAACUAGUCGAAAGAUUAGCUAAUACCGCAUACGACCUGAGGGUGAAAGUGGGGGACCGCAAGGCCUCAUGCUAUAGGAGCGGCCGAUGUCUGAUUAGCUAGUUGGUGGGGUAAAGGCCCGACCAAGGCGACGAUCAGUAGCUGGUCUGAGAGGACGAUCAGCCACACUGGGACUGAGACACGGCCCAGACUCCUACGGGAGGCAGCAGUGGGAAUUUUGGACAAUGGGCGAAAGCCUGAUCCAACAAUGCCGCGUGUGUGAAGAAGGCC